rnacentral:tRNA from 5 species
UGGCUCAGUAGCUCAGUUGGUUAGAGUGCCGGCCUGUCACGCCGGAGGUCGAGGGUUCGAGCCCCUUCUGAGUCGCCAG